rnacentral:rRNA from 1 species
CGGAUUGAAGGCUGAAAUUCGCCUUCAUGAAGCCGGAAUUGCUAGUAAUGGCAGGUCAGAAUACUGCCGUGAAUACGUUCCCGGGCCUUGUACACACCGCCCGUCACACCAUGAGAGUUGGGAAUACCCGAAGCCUGUGAGCUAACCGUAAGGGAGCAGCAGUCGAAGGUAGAAUCAAUGAUUGGGGUGAAGUCGUAACAAGGUACC